GCUGAACUGACAGUUAUCUCAUAUAAAGAAACACCUCAUCUUACCUUAAAUACACGUCUUCGUGUUGAAAAGUGAACACAAAUGAAGGUCAGCGGGUUUGCGUGUCUGUCAGUGGGGUGUGUGUGAUCCUCACCUCCUUUGGCAUCACCUACAGUGUGGACUGUGAGCUCUGCCACCCUUCCUCUCUGGGUCUUCUUCCUGUCCUGCAGCCACCCGGGUGGUGACUGGAUUCGGGCAGGGAGGAAGACGGUGAUCCCUCCUGGCAUGUUUGGGCUCUCUCUGUUGGACAGGUUAGCCAGCAGACACCCACUCAGUUUGCGUGUGAAUGUUUGUCUCUGUGACAGACUUGUUUAUUUGUGCAUCCAUGCAGUGUCGCAGUUUCAUCCCGUUCACAUAUACAUCUCGUGGUGUUAGGUCCUGUGGCCCAGACGUCACAUGUUGUGUUUAUCCUUAGAUGUAAGUGUGAAUUAUGGUGCUUCGUAUGAUUCCACGUCUAUGAUCUGAUUUAAUCUAAACGUGUGUGGAGCCCACGAAUGUGCGUUCACAUCUGUCUGUCCCCAUCAAGGCGUGAGAUCCAAGUGUUCAGCCUGCAGGAAGGAGAUGCCCACUCAUGAGCAUGCUCAGUUUCACAUCUCACAUGCCUGCUGAUGAUACUUGAACCAUUGUGAGUGAAGUGUGAAGACGCAUCUGGACAUGAGAAACCAGGUUUAAAUCACACCGUGGGCCCAAGUCUGGCUCCUCAGGAUCUCGCGUGCCAAGUCCUUUCACCGCAGUUAAUGUGAAGAACGACCUGAAACUGUUGGUGUUGAUGUUCUUCAUCACCUCAAAUAUCAUCUGAAACCAGUCAUAUAUAUCAGUGUGAUCAAACCCUGGGGACGCGUAGAUGCUGGAAUCACCUCCAAUGACUCUAUUAUGACCACUUCAGCAAAUUUGGAUCAAAUUUGACUUGGAAACAUCCGAAUGACUGACCGUAGCAAGUAGGUUCCCCAGGAAUGGAUGCUUGCCCUGAAGGGCAAAAGCCUCUUCCCCAUAAUCUAGGUUUGUUUCACAUCAAAUAUCAAAGUAUUUGUUGUUUUUGCACUACACUUGUCUUCGGUGACCAACCUACAGUUGGCAGUUAUGCUGCUUAUUGUAAUUGCGUUGUAACUAUUAUUAUAAUUACCAAUAAUUAUUAUAUUGUUAUAUGUUAAUGUGUCGUUUGUUCUUUGGUUUGUUAUUUAAGACUGUAUUUAAAAAAACAUAAUGGGAUUUUUUAAUUAUUAUUAUUAUAAGUCAUACCCAGUAUAAAAAGGUUUGUUCUAGUUUGGCUCAGAACUCGGAAGUUACACACCUGAUGUAAGGUUUCCAAAUUGGAAAGUCACAUAAUCCUCACCAUUCAAGACUACAAUCCAAAAUGGCUUCCCGGAAUAUAAACAGGAAGUAGAAGUUUUGAAUAAAUGAAUCUAGCAGUUUCAGUACAUCUGUUAAAAGCUUUCAAAAAGGGUCAUCUUCCACUCCAGACUAAAGAAGCAGUCUGGUUUGAUAAAAAAGAAAAUUGCCUCUACAAUAUUGACAAGUCGGGUUCAUGUUGUUCUGGGUUUGGACCCCUGUGGCUUAAUGCAGCAUCACAAGUGAAAGCGACCCGAAACACACCUUUGUCAACACAAUAUUCCACAGCGACAGUGAUAGACAGGAUCAUGCAGCUCAUUCUAAACAGUCUAGAUUGGCAAAAAAAGAUGACCUGGUCAUGUUCAUAUGCUUUCAACAUGCCAACCCUUCAUACACAAUAUUAACUGCAGAUCAUUUCAAAGGUCAGUUGUUAGCUCACCAAUCAUUAUCAGGAUAUUUAUUGCAAGAUUAAGUGGCUGAAGGUUUAUGGCACAUCACCUGUUGAAUUCUUCCAGCACACAAAUGAGUUACUGUAAGUAGGAGGCUCCAGUGAGGUCUUUCUGGAGCUGCGCUCUUUAUAUCAUGUGCUGUUGCUUUCCAGAAGUGACACCACGUCUCACCGGCACUACCUUUUAAAACACCUCCUGUUCUGUUCUCAGUUCUUUUUCUGCUUCCACAGAAGCAACUGAGUUCCCUGUUCUGAUCUGACCUCGCUGCAGCGGAGGAAGAGAAGCACUCUUUACCCUCUCUUACUGUUAAUGAGGAUGGAAAUGACAACAGAAUUGAUCAUGAAGACAGAGUCGCUGAUGUGUCUUCAGCUGGCCCCUCAGCUCAGCCAAAGACGUGACGAAACAGAUCUGAUGAUGGGUGAUGGUGGAGAGGACGCAUCCGACCCCGGGAUGUUUGCCUGCAGGAGACACACCACAGCAGCCCUGAGGAGGGGGCCCGGCCCGCUGGUUCUGCCUCACUGUGGCCUGCUGUGUCAAAGUUCUGCGGGCCUGACUUGAUGCCUCCUCUGCCUGGCACAUGAGUGAUCUGCAAACGCGGUGCUAUUUUUGCUGAUGUUAAUUUGCUCCGUGUUAAAGCUGUGGUUCACAGCUCGGUCAACCCUCCCUGAUACUAUAUUACAGUUUUUUAUGUAAAGGUUCUCCUGUCACAUCCCAUUUAGGUCGAGAUGCCUGUGAACUGUGAAUGCACCGCGCGCUGGGACUCGGCGAGGCUUCCGGGUCCUAAGGUCCGUUGUGUUCCAAGACAAUGUUGAAGCGUUCACGCUUUCAAAAAAGAAUUCUAAAUGAAUAAAAUGGACAUGUAAUCAUUUCUAAUAUUUAUUAACAACUACUUUAAUUGGAGACUUUAAAAAGUGGAAAAAUGUGCAGCCAACAUUAAUAUAAAACAUCAAACAAACAAAUUUAUAUUGUAAAUAUUACAUUUCUGUACACAAUGCAGUUCACAUAGAAGAAGUGACAGUGUAGAAACAUAAAAAAUACGUGCCUCUAUUAUUACUAAAAAUCUCUACCAGUCAGAAUCAUAUAUACAGAUAUAAAUGAUAAUGCAGACGUGAAUAAUUAUAUGGAAAAUUACCUUACUCAGCGCAGUGAUGUCCACCAAGCCAGCGUAGCAGCCGGAGCAGAGAGAGUGUGUGUGUGUGUCCUGGAAGGAAACGUCUCCUGUCUUUAUACACAUCCCUCCUGCUGAUCAUUCACCGCUCGUCCUGAUUUCAUGAAUAAUUCAUCCAACAGCUACCACACACCCCGGCGCGCUAAUUGGCGCCUUUUUGUCAUCAUGCCCUUUAUUCCUGUUGCAAUUCAUCACCUCGCUCGUGUUGUGACUAAACAUACACACACACGAGCCAGUUGUUGGUUCAAAACAUAUUUAGGGUCAUUAAUUCUAACCAUAUUUUUGCAACACUCAAUUUAGGCUGAUGACGGGAGCCGUGGCUCUCUUCAUUUUUCAGUCUUUUUUUUAAGAGGGACAUCAUUUAAAAACCAGUGAAACUAAAUCCUCAUUAAAUACGCGCGCGUGUGUGUGUUCACUUUAAACUGAAACUGUUGAGAAUUAGGUCAAAUUAAGCUCAUGUCAAAAGUGUUCUUCCUCACAUGAUGCUACAUUUUCUAAAGGCAGCUGAGUCAUGAGGUAAUGAAAAAUAGACAACACUCGGCGAAGUGUCGUUUAAUAUUGAUGGAACAUCCACACCGACGGCUUCAUGCUAAAGGCUAACUGGUCUGCAACUUGUGCUCUGCACAUGAGAGUGAAGAGUGACUGGUUUAUUUAUUGCUUCUGAUCGGAUCGUCAUUGAUGCCAGUCGGCUUUCAAAGGAAAUUUUUAAUGGACAGAAACAGCAACCGAGUCACACGGCAGGCUGGAGCCUGUCCCAGCUUCACAGGAGACACUCAUCUCCUCCUCUGUUUUUUGGACUGUGGGAGGAAACCAGAGUGCCAGGAGUUGAUCCGUCUUCGGAGCUGGGAGCAUAAACCAAACCAUAAACUUGAGGGAAAAUAUGAAUUAAUAUAAGGGCAGUAGAUAUUUAUUUUAACUAAGUAUUUAAUUAAUUUGAACCUUUUAUAUUUCCAUCUCAGAUCAAGGUUUAUCCCCACAUCUUCAAUGUGAGCUAACAUAUAAAGCUGGAGCCUAUUGGUUUAGAUCUAAAAGUCAAGACAGUUUGGAUUUCUGGUUUCAGUAAGUAGUUGAUGUUGACCAGCUCUUAAGUUCAGCUUGUCAAGUUCCUCUUUAUUUUGCCAGAACGUUUAACUGACUUCCCCUUCCUUCUCUGUCUCUGAGAGACUUGACUGUUGGUGGGGCACACCAGUGACAGAUCACCAAUCAAGACUCACCUGCU